GGCUCUCCGUGCUCUUGGGGAAGGGCUUGAUGACGGCAGUUUGGUUGGGGUUCUCUUUCUUGUUGAUGUGGAUGGACAGCCGCUGCCACAGGUGCUGCCCCCGGCUACUCUUCUCGUUCUGCGCCCACGUGACAGAUUUUCCAUUGGAGCUGCGGAGAGAAGAGAGACAAGAGGACCUUGAAAUGAGGAAGCAGAUGGCCAGGAGGAAGGAUGCUAAACAUGAGGUCUUAGUUGCGGCACGUGGGGCCUUCAUUGAGGCGUUCUGGAUCUUUCACUGCAGCAUGGUCUCUUCGUUGUGGCACGUGGGCUUCUCUCUAGUUGUGAUAUACAGAGAGUGGCAAAAAAGUUGAUUCUUCUGAUGUGCAUAUACCCGGCUGAGGCUGAACAAGGUAUGAAAUGAACGCAACGAGAGAGAAGAUCAGUAAAUAAUUGACCAGCUCUUCGUAGAAAGACAUCUCACGUUUUGGGAAAGGUUGGAUGGGGGAAGGAGGCAAAGAAAUGGUGUAAACACUAAAGACUUUGAGAUCUGGUGAUGAGAGAAACUCCUGAUGCAUUAACCAAGCGAUGUCAUGAAAUGAUGGAAAGAGUUGGCUCUGAUAGUUAAGAGCCCUGGAUUUAAGUCUCAUCUGGAUCACUCCCUAAGUGCAAGAUUUGAGACAAGACUCCUAAGUGCCCUGAGCAACAUAUUCCUCAUCAAUAAACCUGAAGAAAUGAUACCUGCUAUUCUACCUCCCAGUUUGGCCAUGAGGAGCAAAUGUGAAACAUCUGAAAUUAAAAAUAUUUUUAUUAAUAGCAAACUGUUACAUGAAUGGAAGGGAUGUGGGUAUAGGCAGAGGGCUUUUAAGCGUGGUCUGGCUUUUACAGGGCAUGCCAUUAUACAAAAUGCAACAUUUAGAACUAUUUCUACUGGUAUAUGACCUAUGUCUCAAGUAUGCCCUGCUGAGAUAUACAAAGUCAUAGGUUAUAUAGUCCUGAGAGAAUGACAGUUCAGAGGCAUAUCAGUCAACCUCUGACAUUUGAGAGUGAUACAUCCACAGAUUUUGGGAUUCCCAUAAACGUGAAAGGCUUUAAAUUCCAGAAAUAUUUUUUUCCUAAAAUGCAUAAAUAAUUGCAAAUGGAGGAUAAGAAAGGAUGCUGCCAUGCAGGUACUUGGCAACUGGCCAAAGGACCUGUUCCUAUGUAACUCUGGAUUGGACAUUCCUGUUUGUGUCUCAAUACAGCAGUAAACCACUCCAUAUCACAGGCUUCUGGGUUCCCUUUUUCAUAGGCAACAUUGCAAAAGCUAAAUUCAAGAACAUCACCAUCCUGCUGUAACUACAGAGACCAAUGUAGUUCUUUGGAGCAAAUAAAUCUAUUGUAAGUAAUUACCCAUCCAAGUCCUAUUAGAAGAAAAAUUAGGACUCUCUAAGUAUACCAACCAACCUAAAUUCUGUGAAUUGAUCUCUAAAGCCUCAUUAGUGUUCUCUGAAGGACCAAAGGCAUGUAGCAAGAGGACAAUGCAGGGAAAGUAAAGCAUAGGCAAGAAACCCAUAUCAUAGGAAAAUCAGAUUUCUUUCACACAGAGAGUAAGUGUAGUGAAAUAGAAGGCACAUUGGCUUCCUAACUUUGGAUUUAAAUACGGGUCCUGCCAUUUACUAGAUAUACGUCUCAGUUAAAUUUCAUAACCUGAAUGAUGAGAAAAGCUCAUGUAGGUCAUGCUGACAGGAGCCAGAGAUUUUGGUAUUCUGAGCAGAGGUUAAACUCUUCCUUGCUUGCUUCCAUAUGCGUGAUUCAGUAGGGGCCAGGAAUAUUAACAGGCUGCAGAAAACCUCUUCCCUUGGUUGGCCAAGCAGGGACAAGUGUGGGGAAAGGAAAAGUGGAAGGAUGCUUGAAGAUAAAUCUUCUAACCUUCAGGGAGACAAAUUCUCACCCUUUUCCUGGUUUCCUUGAAUUUAUGUGUUUGUUUGUUUUUCAGCUCUUGCAAAGAGAGUGAUAAGAGAUCAUGGAUCAAGAUUUAGGACUAAGGACAUAGAGGACAAAGGACCAAGAGUAACGUUUCUUCUGCAUUUGGUCUAGGCUUUAAGGCUCUAUGACUUCCAGCUCAGCUCAUAAAAAACAGACAUUCCAGGGGCUUUCCUGGUGGCGCAGUGGUUGAGA